AUUGAACGCUGGCGGCAGGCCUAACACAUGCAAGUCGGACGGUAGCACAGAGGAGCUUGCUCCUCGGGUGACGAGUGGCGGACGGGUGAGUAAUGUCUGGGGAUCUGCCCGAUAGAGGGGGAUAACCACUGGAAACGGUGGCUAAUACCGCAUAACGUCGCAAGACCAAAGAGGGGGACCUUCGGGCCUCUCACUAUCGGAUGAACCCAGAUGGGAUUAGCUAGUAGGCGGGGUAACGGCCCACCUAGGCGACGAUCCCUAGCUGGUCUGAGAGGAUGACCAGCCACACUGGAACUGAGACACGGUCCAGACUCCUGCGGGAAGGCAGCAGUGGGGAAUAUUGCACAAUGGGCGCAAGCCUGAUGCAGCCAUGCCGCGUGUAUGAAGAAGGCCUUCGGGUUGUAAAGUACUUUCAGCGGGGAGGAAGGCGAUAAGGUUAAUAACCUUGUCGAUUGACGUUACCCGCAGAAGAAGCACCGGCUAACUCCGUGCCAGCAGCCGCGGUAA
rnacentral:rRNA from 1 species